rnacentral:pre_miRNA from 1 species
AAGGGUUUCUUACAGAGUUUAUUGGCAUUCUGUCCACCUCCUGUCUGUCAUGGCGAUAUUUUUCUUCCCCCCCAAAAAAAAAAUGAUAAAUACAAGAACGUUUUUUUUUUCAUUUUUUAUUUAAAUUCUUUUUAUCUACACAAAUUAAUAUAAAUAAAUAGGCUAAUGUUCAGUUAUUUGGAGGAGGUGUGUAUAUUGCCAACUGAGCUCUGUUGGUUUCUCUUU